rnacentral:rRNA from 1 species
GAUGAACGCUGGCGGCGUGCCUAAUACAUGCAAGUCGAGCGAACGGACGAGAAGCUUGCUUCUCUGAUGUUAGCGGCGGACGGGUGAGUAACACGUGGAUAACCUACCUAUAAGACUGGGAUAACUUCGGGAAACCGGAGCUAAUACCGGAUAAUAUUUUGAACCGCAUGGUUCAAAAGUGAAAGACGGUCUUGCUGUCACUUAUAGAUGGAUCCGCGCUGCAUUAGCUAGUUGGUAAGGUAACGGCUUACCAAGGCAACGAUGCGUAGCCGACCUGAGAGGGUGAUCGGCCACACUGGAACUGAGACACGGUCCAGACUCCUACGGGAGGCAGCAGUAGGGAAUCUUCCGCAAUGGGCGAAAGCCUGACGGAGCAACGCCGCGUGAGUGAUGAAGGUCUUCGGAUCGUAAAACUCUGUUAUUAGGGAAGAACAUAUGUGUAAGUAACUGUGCACAUCUUGACGGUACCUAAUCAGAAAGCCACGGCUAACUACGUGCCAGCAGCCGCGGUAAUACGUAGGUGGCAAGCGUUAUCCGGAAUUAUUGGGCGUAAAGCGCGCGUAGGCGGUUUUUUAAGUCUGAUGUGAAAGCCCACGGCUCAACCGUGGAGGGUCAUUGGAAACUGGAAAACUUGAGUGCAGAAGAGGAAAGUGGAAUUCCAUGUGUAGCGGUGAAAUGCGUAGAGAUAUGGAGGAACACCAGUGGCGAAGGCGACUUUCUGGUCUGUAACUGACGCUGAUGUGCGAAAGCGUGGGGAUCAAACAGGAUUAGAUACCCUGGUAGUCCACGCCGUAAACGAUGAGUGCUAAGUGUUAGGGGGUUUCCGCCCCUUAGUGCUGCAGCUAACGCAUUAAGCACUCCGCCUGGGGAGUACGACCGCAAGGUUGAAACUCAAAGGAAUUGACGGGGACCCGCACAAGCGGUGGAGCAUGUGGUUUAAUUCGAAGCAACGCGAAGAACCUUACCAAAUCUUGACAUCCUUUGACAACUCUAGAGAUAGAGCUUUCCCCUUCGGGGGACAAAGUGACAGGUGGUGCAUGGUUGUCGUCAGCUCGUGUCGUGAGAUGUUGGGUUAAGUCCCGCAACGAGCGCAACCCUUAAGCUUAGUUGCCAUCAUUAAGUUGGGCACUCUAAGUUGACUGCCGGUGACAAACCGGAGGAAGGUGGGGAUGACGUCAAAUCAUCAUGCCCCUUAUGAUUUGGGCUACACACGUGCUACAAUGGACAAUACAAAGGGCAGCGAAACCGCGAGGUCAAGCAAAUCCCAUAAAGUUGUUCUCAGUUCGGAUUGUAGUCUGCAACUCGACUACAUGAAGCUGGAAUCGCUAGUAAUCGUAGAUCAGCAUGCUACGGUGAAUACGUUCCCGGGUCU